CACAAGGCCCCAGACAUUCUAGUGCCCUUCUUACCUCAGAAUACUGAACUUCAUAACACCUCUUACGUCUGCUUUGCCACAGCCAGAGAUCUGCUCAGGGUUCUAACGAUCAGGAUAUGGGUGACUUCGGUACCUACCACCAUGAUUUCCAAAUAUUUCUUCUGUUUCAGGGAAAAGCAGGGACAAGCACGGGCCAUGAUGAAUGAAAUUGAGGUAGGCAUCCUGACUUGAGCAUGUGCUACCGGGAUGUGAGUGCUCAACUCUUCAGGGAGAGGGACUUGAGUAUCUGUCUGGACUGCAAGGUAGGAGUGCCAUGGAUGUUGAAGAAAACUAUGCCCUUGACUUGGCGUUUCGUGUCAUCUUGACAUCUGUCAGGACCAGCUCUCAGGAACCCCACCAUCGUGUUCACAGACUAAAUGCUGUGAAAUGCAAGAUAAACUGUGCUUCAUGAUUGAAAUUUUCAUUUAGAAAAGAAACCCCAACCAACCUUGCCCUGUUCCACAUUAUUUACUAUGACAUCUUGGCGCCUUUCCCAGAGCCCUGCAUCUUUCACAGCCAGGCUGUCCCGCCCCAGGGUCUCCAUGAGGCACAGCACAAGAGACAAAUGGGGCCAGCUCUGCUUCAGGUACUAGGGACUGGCGUCAGCAAGCUCGGACAGAUAGCUAGCCCUGUGAGGAGGGGCUGCCUCAACUAGUAAAGCAAAGAGUGAAUCAACUACUAAGGUCAUAAAAGAGUAGUCACAGCACCAUGGAACUGCCUAGAAGAUUCUAGAAGGUUCUGGAACUGCGAUAUUCCAAAUAGGUGCCGUGGAAAUUUAGGGGAGGCUGGAAAAAGAAAAGGAAGGAUCCUACUACAACUCUAGAUGGGAAUGCAAGAAUUGUGGACCUCUUCACAGGGGAGCCACCUAUCGGACUACGAGGCUUUUUCACCCUGGCUGCUACAAGCACCAACUCUUCCAGACCUGCUCAAGCUCCGGGGGUUGCUCCUUGUAACUUGCAGACACAUCGGAGGAGAGGCUAAAAUCCUGUCGGCAUCUUUUUAGGCUCAGGCAGGUUCCUGCCAUGCUCCUCAGCAGAAGCCAUUGCUCCCAUUGACACAGAAGGUGAAACUGAGGUUCACAGAAGUGGUACAGGUCUGCACAGCCACCCAACAUCAGAGCCAGAGACCACCGGUGGAGUGAGUGUCAGCAGCAGGGGCUCUCCAUGGGAGGCUGCGGCUUACAGAGUGUUAGAGGAAAGACAAGGUUGCUUCCCACUGC
rnacentral:sRNA from 1 species